UACGAAGGGGGCUAGCGUUGCUCGGAAUUACUGGGCGUAAAGAGUGUGUAGGCGGUGUUCUAAGUUUGUCGUGAAAUCUCCCGGCUUAACUGGGAGGGUGCGGCGAAAACUGGAAUGCUAGAGGAUGGGAGAGGUAAGCGGAAUUCCUGGUGUAGCGGUGAAAUGCGUAGAUAUCAGGAGGAACACCUGUGGUGUAGACAGCUUACUGGACCAUUUCUGACGCUGAGACACGAAAGCGUGGGUAGCAAACAGG
rnacentral:rRNA from 1 species